GCGAGCGUAGUCUAGUGGUUAUGAUGUCUGCUUUACAGGUCACGUGUCCUUUGAAGCGCAGAAGGUCGGGAGUUCGAUCCUCCCCGCUCGUA